UUAUCCCGCGGAACAGACAGUUCGCGGAACCGAACAAUCGCGCGAACAGGAAGGGGCGGACGGUCGGGAAUUCACGCGAGAGCAAGGUAGAAUUCGUUUUCUUCCAAUUUUAGCAAACGAGCGCGUUGGAGAGUAAGAUUUAACAACUCCUUUUCGUUCUUAUUGUUAUAGAAACAAAGGUUGGAGAGAAUUUGCAACGAAAGGAAGAAACGACCGAGGAAAAAUAAGGAAAAAGGUUUGUUGAAAUUUCUUUUAGAUUUUCCUAUAAAUUUCUUCUCCUCCUUCGUUUAAAGUGAGCGAUAUAUUUCUUGAAGGUUAAGGAAGGGAUUGAAGCGAGGAAAAAGGAAAUUUCGGGAAGAAGGAUUUUGGGAGAUUUGGAAAAUCCAAUUAGAUUUGGAGAGAAAUUCGAAGUAACACCCUUCGUCGAAGACCUGAAAAGUUCAAGUGGGUAUUUUUAAAAGUUUAAAAUUUCUUUAUUUCCAUUCUAUUUUUGUUUAGAAAGAAGUAUAUGCGAAAUUGAUAGAUGUAUGAUUUUUUUCUACUUUUGGAGAAAUAGUUAACUAAAAUAAGCAACGACAUGUAUGAGUACAAUUAUAGAAAAGAAAAAGGAUAUGUUAUGAGUAUAUCAAAGAAUUAGAAAGUAAAGUUUAGAAAGAAAAUAUAUACAUGUACAUGAUUCGUAUAUGUAAAUGACAAGUAAUAUUUAUAGAGAUACAAGUAAGAUGUGUUGUAUGCAAUUGUAUCAAUAACGAUGAAAAUGAGAAAAGAAAAGAAUAAAGGAAAAGGGUAUUGAAAACGACAGGAGUCACCCCCUUAUGGUACUGGCUGGGGACGCCGUACUCGUGCACGAAAAAGGAAAAGGAAAUUUCUAUGGAAAUGGGGAAAAGGAAAUUAAAUGGAAAAGGUUGUACCUUUAGGUACUUUGAGACGGUGCUCCUGUGCAAAUUAAAUGGGAAAAGGAAAUGUAAAUGAAAUAUCAAAGAUAACAAAUGCUUCAAAUUAUUUUAAAUGAAAAUAUUCAAAGAAGUAUUAAGUUAAAGAAUUGAAAUAAACAAGAUUAAGAAAGGAAAGAAUAUAUGUUAAUUUAUAUUUUUAUAU